rnacentral:rRNA from 1 species
GCUUAGAAGCAGCCACUCAUUAAAAGAGUGCGUAAUAGCUCACUGGUCGAGUGACUCUGCGCGGAAAAUAUAACGGGGCUAAGCGUAACACCGAAGCUUGGGCUGCACAGCAAUGUGCGGGGUAGGGGAGCGUCGAAUAUGGGGUGAAGUCGCAGCGGAAGCAGCGGUGGACUGUAUUCGAGUGAGAAUGCCGGAAUGAGUAGCGAGAAUUAUGUGGGAAUCAUAAUGGCCGAAAAUCUAAGGUUUCCUGGGGAAGGUUCGUCCGCCCAGGGUAAGCCGGGAGCUAAGGCGAGGCCGAAAGGCGUAGUCGAUGCACAUACGGUUGAAAUUCCGUAGCCACCGAACCUUAAGUACACUGACACAUGGAGAUAGCGGGACCCGGGCGUUGGUUGACCCGGGCGUAAGGGACCGAACUUUAGUAGGGAAGUCCGCGAUGCUCUGUGGCGAGAAAAGGUGUAUGGUAUGCUAAGGUGCCCGUACCGCAAACCGACACAGGUAGAUGAGGAGAGAAUCCUAAGGCCAACGGGAGAAGGGUUGUUAAGGAACUCGGCAAAAUGACCCCGUAACUUCGGGAUAAGGGGAGCCUCCUACGGGAGGCCGCAGCGAAUAGGCCCAAGCGACUGUUUACCAAAAACACAGGUCUCUGCUAAAUCGAAAGAUGACGUAUAGGGGCUGACGCCUGCCCGGUGCUGGAAGGUUAAGAGGAGAUGUUAGCCGCAAGGCGAAGCAUUGAAUCGAAGCCCCAGUAAACGGCGGCCGUAACUAUAACGGUCCUAAGGUAGCGAAAUUCCUUGUCAGGUAAGUUCUGACCCGCACGAAAGGCGUAAUGAUUUGGGCACUGUCUCAACAGCCCGCCCGGCGAAAUUGUAGUACCGGUGAAGAUGCCGGUUACCCGCAACUAGACGGAAAGACCCCAUGGAGCUUUACUGUAGCUUAAUACUGGAAAUCGGUAAAUCAUGUACAGGAUAGGUGGGAGACUUGGAAGCCAGGGCGUCAGCUUUGGUGGAGUCACCCUUGGGAUACCACCCUUGAUUUGCUGGUUUUCUAACCUGCGGCCGUGAAUCCGGUCGGGGGACACUGUUAGGUGGGCAGUUUGACUGGGGCGGUCGCCUCCUAAAAGGUAACGGAGGCGCUCAAAGGUUCGUUCAGCACGGACGGAAACCGUGCAGUGAGUGUAAACGCAUAAACGAGCCUAACUGCGAGACCGACGGGUCGAGCAGUAACGAAAGUUGGAGUUAGUGAUCCGGUGGUAUGUGAGUGGAAAUGCCAUCGCUCAACGGAUAAAAGCUACCCUGGGGAUAACAGGCUGAUCUCCCCCAAGCGUCCACAGCGACGGGGAGGUUUGGCACCUCGAUGUCGGCUCGUCACAUCCUGGGGCUGAAUUCGGUCCCAAGGGUUCGGCUGUUCGCCGAUUAAAGUGGCACGCGAGCUGGGUUCAGAACGUCGUGAGACAGUUCGGUCCCUAUCUGUUGCGGGCGUAAGAGAUUUGAAGGGAGCUGUCCUUAGUACGAGAGGACCGGGAUGGACGUACCUCUGGUGCACCAGUUGUCCUGCCAAGGGCAUAGCUGGGUAGCUAAGUACGGACGAGAUAAACGCUGAAAGCAUCUAAGCGUGAAACUCCCCCUAAGAUGAGAUCUCUCACCUCGAAAGAGGGUAAGGGCCCAGGAAGACUACCUGGU